CCUACGGGAGGCAGCAGUGGGGAAUCUUGCGCAAUGGGCGAAAGCCUGACGCAGCAACGCCGCGUGCGGGAAGAAGGCUUUCGGGCUGUAAACCGCUUUCAGCAGGAACGAAAAUGACGGUACCUGCAGAAGAAGGAGCGGCCAACUAUGUGCCAGCAGCCGCGGUGAUACAUAGGCUUCAAGCGUUGUCCGGAUUUAUUGGGCGUAAAGAGUUCGUAGGCGGUCAAGUAAGUCGGGUGUGAAAAUUCUGGGCUCAACCCAGAGACGCCACCCGAUACUGCUUAACUUGAGUUCGAUAGGGGAGUGGGGAAUUCCUAGUGUAGCGGUGAAAUGCGCAGAUAUUAGGAGGAACACCGGUGGCGAAGGCGCCACUCUGGAUCGAUACUGACGCUGAGGAACGAAAGCAUGGGUAGCAAACAGGAUUAGAUACCCUGGUAGUCCAUGCCGUAAACGGUGGGCACUAGGUGUGGGUUUCUAUUAACGAAAUCCGCGCCGUCGCUAACGCAUUAAGUGCCCCGCCUGGGGAAGUCGGUCGCAAGACUAAAACUCAAAGGAAUUGACGGCNGAGACGNGCGACGACGACGACGAGGAGAG
rnacentral:rRNA from 1 species